AGAGUUUGAUUAUGGCUCAGGACCUUUGCUGGCGGCGUGCCUAACACAUGCAAGUCGAACGGACCUCUUUAAGGAAAACUCUUCGGAGUCGGAAUUCUUGACUUAGUGGCGGACGGGUGAGUAACGCGUGAGCAAUCUGCCUUUGGAUGUGGGAUAACAGCCGGAAACGGCUGCUAAUACCGCAUAACGCAUUCUGGCCGCAUGACCGGGAUGCCAAAGAUUUAUCGUCCAAAGAUGAGCUCGCGUCUGAUUAGCUGGUUGGCGGGGUAACGGCCCACCAAGGCGACGAUCAGUAGCCGGACUGAGAGGUUGAACGGCCACAUUGGGACUGAGACACGGCCCAGACUCCUACGGGAGGCAGCAGUGGGGAAUAUUGCGCAAUGGGGGCAACCCUGACGCAGCAACGCCGCGUGAUUGAAGAAGGCCUUCGGGUUGUAAAGAUCUUUAAACAGGGACGAAGAAAUGACGGUACCUGAAGAAUAAGCUCCGGCUAACUACGUGCCAGCAGCCGCGGUAAUACGUAGGGAGCAAGCGUUAUCCGGAUUUACUGGGUGUAAAGGGCGUGUAGGCGGGCCUGUAAGUCAGAAGUGAAAUCUGGGGGCUUAACCCCCAAACUGCUUUUGAAACUGCGGGUCUUGAGUGAUGGAGAGGCAGGCGGAAUUCCCAGUGUAGCGGUGAAAUGCGUAAAUAUUGGGAGGAACACCAGUGGCGAAGGCGGCCUGCUGGACAUUAACUGACGCUGAGGCGCGAAAGCGUGGGGAGCCAACAGGAUUAAAUACCCUGGUAUUUCCCCCCC
rnacentral:rRNA from 1 species